rnacentral:rRNA from 1 species
AUUGAACGCUGGCGGCAGGCCUAACACAUGCAAGUCGAGCGAGCGGCGGACGGGUGAGUAAUGUCUGGGAAACUUCCUGCUGGAUGGGGAUAACUCCUGGAAACGGUAGCUACUACCGCAUAACAUCAGAUGUGCCCAGAUGGGAUUAGCUAGUAGGUGGGGUAACGGCUCACCUAGGCGACUAUCCCUAGCUGGUCUGAGAGGAUGACAAGCAAAACGGGAACGGAGACACGGUCCAGACGCCUACGGGAGGCAGCAGUGGGGAAUAUUGCACAAUGGGCGCAAGCCUGAUGCAGCCAUGCCGCGUGUAUGAAGAAGGCCUUCGGGUUGUAAAGUACUUUCAGCGGGGAGGCGUUACCCGCAGAAGAAGCACCGGCUAACUCAGUGCCAGCCGCCGCGGUAAUAC